rnacentral:rRNA from 1 species
CGUCUAUAUACGUAUAGCAUAUCAAUAAGCGGAGGAAAAGAAACUAACAAGGAUUCCCUUAGUAACGGCGAGUGAAGCGGGAAGAGCUCAAAUUUGAAAUCUUCAAGGUUCUACCUUGACGAAUUGUAGUUUAAAGAAGUGUUUUCUGUUAGAGGAGUAGCAAAAGUCCCUUGGAAUGGGACAUCAUAGAGGGUGAGAAUCCCGUACUUGGUUAUUCUUUCUAGCUUUGUGAUACACUUUCAAAGAGUCGGAUUGUUUGGGAAUGCAGUCCAAAAUGGGUGGUAAAUUUCAUCUAAAGCUAAAUAUUGGCGAGAGACCGAUAGCGAACAAGUACCGUGAGGGAAAGAUGAAAAGAACUUUGAAAAGAGAGUUAAACAGUACGUGAAAUUGUCAAAAGGGAAGCGUUUGACACCAGUGUUGUUUUUCCGAAAAUCAAUUAAGAGUGGCUUGAUUUUGUGUUGUAUUGACCUUAUCAGCUUUCUUCACUCUUUUUCGAGUCUUUCUUAAUGCACUUUUCGGUUAACAAGUCAACAUCAAUUUCUUUUGUUGUAAAAGGGUAUUUGGAAGGUGGCUUUCUUUUCGGAGAAAGUGUUUAUAGCCUUAUACCUCUACAAUCGGAGAGAUUGAGGUCUGCAGCGUAGAUCCUUCGGGGCUAGAUACACUUGUGCUAAGUUAUAGCUUUUCAUAGACAACUUGUUGACUAUGUUUAGUCAUGUAGCUUACCCGCUUGUGCUAUUUUACCUACGCUUAGGAUGUUGAGUCAUCACACAUCUCU